UUACACAGCCAUAUCACCUACAGCCCAAGACUGAUUACUCACUGAAGCUAAGCAGGGCUGAGCCUGGUCAGUACCUGGAUGGGAGACCACAUGGGAAACUGGGUUGCUGUUGGAA
ensembl:rRNA 5S_rRNA 5S ribosomal RNA